ACAACUAAUUGCAAUUCUACUGUGGGCUCAUACGGAAAGUAAGCAGGCUGUAUUGUGACACUGACAUCUUGGUGUAAUGUUCCUUGAUCAUGUUCACAAAUUCAGUUUUGAAGUUUUAAGGGACCCCUUUAAAUUGUCAUGUUAGAUUUACUCAGACAUCAGACAUUCCACAUUUAUUAGGCUUAUGGAAAUGCAGUGCUGC